rnacentral:tRNA from 1 species
GCGGAUGUGGUGGAAUGGUAGACACGUUAGAUUUAGGUUCUAAUGGCGAGAGCUGUGGGGGUUCAAGUCCCUUCAUCCGUA